rnacentral:rRNA from 1 species
AACACCGCAAGGCACAACCACACACGCACCAUCGGCAUCCACCAAUCUACCAUACGGACACUCACUAGUCAAGCACUCAAGCCUAACAAACAGGCAAUGGAAGCCGGGGGAGCGACCGCCGGCGUCGGCGCCGAGAAGAAUUCGUGGCCGGAGGUGGUGGGCCUGUCGUCGGAGGAGGCCAAGAAGAAGAUCAUAGAGCACAAGCCGGACGCCAGCGUCCACGUCGUUCCGGCCGACUCCUUCGUCACCAUGGAUUACAACACCGGCCGAGUCAGGGUGUUCGUCGACUCCAACGACAAGGUCACGAAAGCUCCCAGGAUUGGCUAG